ensembl:lncRNA
GUUGUAUUAAUCAGGAGAAUCUGCUUGAUUACUAUCCCUUGCCUGAGUACACUGUCCAUGGCACACCACUGAUAAUUCUUUCCCUCUAGUCCAGAAUGAUGCCGAACAUGAGUGAAGAAAUCAAAAAGAUCAUCUGCAAGACCUUGCCAAAUCUGUCUGAAGAGACCCAGUGGCAAAUAAUAUGGAAACUUCAGAGCUCCGACUUGGAGUCAAAAGAGGACUUAAAAUAUGUACAACAGGAAGACAUUGCUGAUCUGUUACCUGUUAUCCAGCGCAGAAAACUCCUGGAUGCAUUUAAAUUAGAAACCGAGACAGUUGCAUUGGAUUUAUAAGUCAUUCCAACUUCGUCACCACUGAGUAGUGAUUGGUUGGUGUCUGGGUCUUCAUCACCAACUUUAUGCACUCCGCCUAAUUCUAGCUCAUCACAGCUAUCGGCCAUUUCGUCAUGUUCAAGCCAGGCAAGAAACAGCAAGCCAAGCAACAGACCUUCCACAUCUCAGAUACUGAAAACAUGGCCAGAAAUAUUCCAGGUCCCUUGGGAACAAAUGCCACAGGAAAUUCGUUAUGCAAUUGCAGAUGGCAAGAGACCUAAACCAGUGGAGCGACACCAGAUGGUACGAGUACUCGCGGAUGAAAUGAGAAGGUAUGAAGCUAACCCCACUCACACACAAUGCCUAACUGUGGUUUGAAAUAUCAUCAGGCAGUACCCAAAGAGAUAUUUUUGCUGAUAUUGCACCAGAUGGUUCACUUCUGUGUGGAGGUUAUACAUCACUUUUGAUUCAAUUAAAAAACCGCAUUGAGAAUGUGAACCGUGAUGGAAGCUUCUCAUGCCACCGAUCCUCUACAGGCAAGAGGGGUCCAACUGACACAUAUGGAUGUACACGAUUUCAGCCAGAGCUUCCCCCAGAAGAAACUGAUGAAACUGUGGAGCAGCACCGCCAGAGACUGGAGGAGAUUUACAGACAGGAGGGUGCAGGUGGAGCAGAAAGAGCAGAAGUUAAAAAUCUAAUGGAGCUCACAUUCUCUCUACAAUAUC